rnacentral:rRNA from 1 species
GAUGAACGCUGGCGGCGUGCCUAAUACAUGCAAGUCGAGCGAACGGACGAGAAGCUUGCUUCUCUGAUGUUAGUGGCGGACGGGUGAGUAACACGUGGAUAACCUACCUAUAAGACUGGGAUAACUUCGGGAAACCGGAGCUAAUACCGGAUAAUAUUUUGAACCGCAUGGUUCAAAAGUGAAAGACGGUCUUGCUGUCACUUAUAGAUGGAUCCGCGCUGCAUUAGCUAGUUGGUAAGGUAACGGCUUACCAAGGCAACGUUGCAUAGCCGACCUGAGGGGGUAGUCGUCAACACUGGAACUGAGACACGUGACAGACUCCUACGGGGGACAGCAGUAGGUAUUCUGCCGCAAUGUGCGAAAGCGUGACGGAGCAACGCCGCGUGAGUGAUGAAGGUCUUCUGAUCUGAAAACCCUGUUAUUAGGGAAGAACAUAUGUGUAAGUAGCUGUGCACAUCUUGACGGUACCUAGUCAGAAAGCCACGGCUAACUACGUG